rnacentral:rRNA from 1 species
GAUGAACGCUGGCGGCGUGCCUAACACAUGCAAGUCGAACGAACAAGCCCAGCUCUCUGGGUGGUGUAGUUGCCAACGGGCGAGUAAGUCGUGAGUAACUUGCCCUCAACUCUGGCAUAAGUCAGGGCAACUGGGUCUAACACCUGAUAGGUGCUACCACCGCCUGGUGGGUGCUGGAGAGAUUUAUCGGUUUUGGAUGGACUGGCGGCCUAUCAGCUUGUUAUCGAAGUAAUGGUUCACUAACGCGAUGACGGGUAGCCGGCAUGGGAGGGUGACCAGCCACAAUGGGACUAAGAGACGCACCAGACUGCAACGGGAGGCAGCGGUGGGGAGUAUUGCACAGUGGGCGCAAGCCUGAUGCGGAGGCGCCGCGUGAGGGAUGACGGCCUUCGGGUUAUGAACCUCUUUCAGUAGAGAAGAAGCGAAAGUGACGGUACCUGCAGAAGAAGCACCGGCUAACUACGUG